rnacentral:rRNA from 1 species
AGCAGCCGCGGUAAUUCCAGCUCCAAUAGCGUAUAUAAAGUUGUUGCAGUUAAAAGCUCUAGUUGAAUUUCGGGGUCAGUAGUCAAGUUGCUGGUGCCGAUGCCGUUCGGAUACCGGUAACCUUGGGGCUAUUCUCAAUUCGGUUUUGCAUUUCCACCUUUCCCUUUGAAGCCAACCGGACGAUUGGUCAAUUAAGUUUCGGUUGGUUCGAAUUGGGGGCCAA